rnacentral:rRNA from 1 species
UACGUAGGCAGCAAGCGUUGUUCGGAGUUACUGGGCGUAAAGGGUGUGUAGGCGGUUGUUUAAGUUUGGUGUGAAAUCUCCCGGCUCAACUGGGAGGGUGCGCCGAAUACUGAAUGACUCGAGUGCGGGAGAGGAGAGUGGAAUUCCUGGUGUAGCGGUGAAAUGCGUAGAUAUCAGGAGGAACACCGGUGGUGUAGACGGCUCUCUGGACCGUAACUGACGCUGAGACACGAAAGCGUGGGGAGCGAACAGG